CGCCGCGUGAGCGAAGAAGGCCUUCGGGUCGUAAAGCUCUGUUGUUAGGGAAGAACAAGUAUCGGAGUAACUGCCGGUACCUUGACGGUACCUAACCAGAAAGCCACGGCUAACUACGUGCCAGCAGCCGCGGUAAUACGUAGGUGGCAAGCGUUGUCCGGAAUUAUUGGGCGUAAAGCGCGCGCAGGCGGUCCUUUAAGUCUGAUGUGAAAGCCCACGGCUCAACCGUGGAGGGUCAUUGGAAACUGGGGGACUUGAGUGCAGAAGAGGAGAGUGGAAUUCCACGUGUAGCGGUGAAAUGCGUAGAGAUGUGGAGGAACACCAGUGGCGAAGGCGACUCUCUGGUCUGUAACUGACGCUGAGGCGCGAAAGCGUGGGGAGCAAACAGGAUUAGAUACCCUGGUAGUCCACGCCGUAAACGAUGAGUGCUAAGUGUUAGAGGGUUUCCGCCCUUUAGUGCUGCAGCUAACGCAUUAAGCACUCCGCCUGGGGAGUACGGCCGCAAGGCUG
rnacentral:rRNA from 1 species